rnacentral:misc_RNA from 1 species
GGCAUGCCUGUUCGAGCGCCGUUUGGCUAUCCUAAAGCAUUGCUUUGUGUUGAAUCUCGUCAUCUUUUGACGGAUUUCAAAUAACUGUGCCUAAGCUGGCUUGCGUGAAGCAGUGAAAGUGCUAAGCGUCUUGUCUCCAGUGAGGGCAGGUCAAACGAUCGCAUGGCCUCGAAUCAGGUAGGGCUACCCGCUGAACUUAA